UUAAUUGAAACCAAAGUAGAGGUAUAUCACUGUUAAUGAUACCAAUAAGAAAUUCUUCAAUUAAA
rnacentral:tRNA from 2 species